rnacentral:rRNA from 1 species
UAACAUGGUUUCUGCACUCUAACAGACUCAAGCCUCAUCCCAUCUAAUUUUGGAAGCUAAGCAGGGUCAGCCCUGGUUAGUAUUUGGAUGGGAGACCAUUCCCGAAUACCAGGUUCUAUAUGAU